AACCAUGCUGGUUUGCCUGGGACUGGGGCCUUUCCCAGGACACGAGACUUGGAUGCUCAAACUGGGAUGCGUGGGCCACCCU
rnacentral:miRNA from 1 species